CCGGAAAUGUGAAAAUGAAAUGAGUAUUUAAACACAUAAAAUGCGGAAGCGAGAUCAAAAUUUCAGUUAACAUCCCUUACACGAAAACAAAAAACGUACUUAAAAUAUAAAAGAUUAAACUAACUAAAAGAGAAACUCGAAAAUAAAACUAUGAGUAUGACUACAGAGUCUCUAGGCAUCCCCUUCGUCGUCCUCCUGCGAAACGGGCUCGGGAACCAUGUCUUCCUGAUAUGAAAUGGUUAAAUAAGGAGUGAGCUACACUAGCCCAGUAAGAACAUCACGAUAUCUCACCGUCACGGAGGUAAAUGUGGGAAGAAAAAACACAAAAGACCAAUGGAGCAUGAUUUACAACAAAUCCUUUUAUUUAUGAUAAAACCUUUACCAUCCACUUACCUCGGUGGAAUUCAUGAAAACAAUAUAAGAAAACAAUAACAUUAUCACAAUCAUGGAAUAAUAUAAGCUGUAAAACAUAGCACUUAUCACGCCUUUUGUAAUUCAAUCAUUAUACCACAUAUCCUUUUCUCAUUUACCAGCCUACACUAUCCAUGGGGGUCCCUAAGGGGUCCCGCUACCCGUUAACCUUUAACAUUCAUAAUCAGUUUCCAGGGCCGUCCCCAUACCCCGUCCGGUAUGAGGGUGAAACGGGCCGUCCCCAUACCCCGUCCGGUAUGGGCACCAAAACCAUAAGAUCUCCAUACCCCGUCCGGCAUGUGAGACCACAAUCCCGGUAGGGUUCCCUACGGACCCGGUCCGUCCACCAUCUCCCAGGAUAUCUAGUCAGGCUGACCCCAUCAUACAAUUAUCAGUCUACACAAUCUUUCAUUUUCCUUUUCCUCAAUAAGCAUCAUCAAUUCACAUUUAAACAAGCAAAUCGUAAUUCAUGUCAAACAGACAACAUACAGUAUCAGUUCUUCAGUCUUUCAACCCAUAAUUAAUAAAACAGUAAUAUAUGCACUCGAAACUAUAAAAUGAACACAUCAAACCUCAUAAUGCAUUUAAAGCUGUAAAACAGGCCAAAUAACAGUAAAUCAUCAAUCACACUAGACUCGGGCUCCAUUAGCAAACUUAAGCAAUUUCACACAUGCGUUAAUUCAAGAAAUACCGUUUUAUCAUUUUGAACUUUAAUACCGUGAUAGGAAAUAGGGUGAGGGGUCCUUACUUGUUUUCGGGAUCCGAAUACGAUUCACAGUGCGCCUACAGGCCGUCCC
rnacentral:lncRNA from 1 species